UGUCAAUGUAUGUCCUCAUCAAGCACCUUUACCCAAUGGGCCAGCCUGAAGGUGACAUUGAACUUGUUCGUCUUCCUGAUUCCUGUUGACGGGUGUGCACUACCCUUCCCAGCAGCUCAGGAGCCACCCAGAACAUUGUACGUGUGCUAGGCAAAUACCACCAACCACACCACUUCCCCGCCCGGAGACCUACGGGAUUCUGGAAGUGUCAAACUUCCACUAGAGACUUUAGAUUUCUAAAUCAGGAAUUAUUGUUUAGCCCUGUCUGGUGGCUUAUGCCUGGAAUCCUAGCCCUUGGGAGGCAGGCUGGUGGAUCAGGACCAGCGUUGGUGACAUAGCAGAUUCAGUUAGCCUGAGCUACAUGAGGUACUGCUAAAGGAAAGGGAAAAAAAAGUGUUUCUUUUAAUACUGUAUUGCCGGUAUCUGCUGAAUAUUGAAACAGUCAUUUCCAGCACAUACAUACUCUGUUAAGCUAUAGAUUAUACCAUUUUUUCUUUAUCGACUAGGUAUUGCCUCUUCUUUUUGUUUUUGUUGUUUUUAAACGAAUGUCUAAGACAUAGAUGCCUAGCUGUAAAUAAAUUCAGAUCUCUUGCCUCUGUAUCCAA
rnacentral:lncRNA from 1 species